UACGUAGGUGGCAAGCGUUGUCCGGAUUUAUUGGGUUUAAAGGGUGCGUAGGUGGCUAACUAAGUCAGUGGUGAAAUAUCUCAGCUUAACUGAGAGGGUGCCAUUGAUACUGGAUAGCUUGAGUACAGAUGAGGUAGGCGGAAUUGGCGGUGUAGCGGUGAAAUGCAUAGAUAUCGUCAAGAACACCGAUAGCGAAGGCAGCUUACCAAGCUGUAACUGACACUGAGGCACGAAAGUGUGGGGAUCAAACAGG
rnacentral:rRNA from 1 species